AGGAUGGGCCCGCGGCCUAUCAGCUUGUUGGUGGGGUAAUGGCCUACCAAGGCGACGACGGGUAGCCGGCCUGAGAGGGCGACCGGCCACACUGGGACUGAGACACGGCCCAGACUCCUACGGGAGGCAGCAGUGGGGAAUAUUGCGCAAUGGGCGAAAGCCUGACGCAGCGACGCCGCGUGAGGGAUGAAGGCCUUCGGGUUGUAAACCUCUUUCAGCAGGGACGAAGCGAAAGUGACUGUACCUGCAGAAGAAGCACCGGCUAACUACGUGCCAGCAGCCGCGGUAAUACGUAGGGUGCGAGCGUUGUCCGGAAUUAUUGGGCGUAAAGAGCUCGUAGGCGGUCUGUCACGUCGGAUGUGAAAGCUCGGGGCUCAACCCCGAGCCUGCAUUCGAUACGGGCAGACUAGAGUUCGGUAGGGGAGACUGGAAUUCCUGGUGUAGCGGUGAAAUGCGCAGAUAUCAGGAGGAACACCGGUGGCGAAGGCGGGUCUCUGGGCCGAUACUGACGCUGAGGAGCGAAAGCGUGGGGAGCGAACAGGAUUAGAUACCCUGGUAGUCCACGCCGUAAACGUUGGGCGCUAGGUGUGGGGGACUUUCCACGUCCUCUGUGCCGCAGCUAACGCAUUAAGCGCCCCGCCUGGGGAGUACGGCCG
rnacentral:rRNA from 1 species